GAUGAACGCUGGCGGCGUGCCUAAUACAUGCAAGUAGAACGCUGAAGGAAGGAGCUUGCUCUUUCCGGAUGAGUUGCGAACGGGUGAGUAACGCGUAGGUAACCUGCCUGGUAGCGGGGGAUAACUAUUGGAAACGAUAGCUAAUACCGCAUAACAGUAGAUGUUGCAUGACAACUAUUUGAAAGGGGCAAUUGCUCCACUACCAGAUGGACCUGCGUUGUAUUAGCUAGUUGGUGAGGUAACGGCUCACCAAGGCGACGAUACAUAGCCGACCUGAGAGGGGGAUCGGCCACACUGGGACUUAGACACGGCCCAGACUUCUACGGGAGGCAGCAGUAGGGAAUCUUCGGCAAUGGACGGAAGUCUGACCGGGCAACGCCGGGGGAGGGAAGAAGGUUUUCGGAUCGUAAAGCUCUUUUGUAAGAGAAGAACGAGUGUGAGAGUGGAAAGUUCACACUGUGACGGUAUCUUACCAGAAAGGGACGGCUAACUACGUG
rnacentral:rRNA from 1 species